AUGGAGAGGAGCCUGGGAGCUGUGUUGGUGCUGCUGUGGGUGUGGAUUUGCUGGGUCAGAGGGAUGCAGGUGGAGCAGAAUCCUCCAGCCCUGAGUCUCCACGAGGGAUCGGGCUCUGCUCUGAGAUGCAAUUUUUCUACCACCAUGAGGAGUGUGCAGUGGUUCCGCCAGAACUCAGUGGGCAGCCUCACCAGUCUGUUUUACCUGGCUUCAGGAACAAAGGAGAAUGGGAGGUUAAAGUCAACAUUCAACUCCAAGGAGCGCUACAGCACGCUGCACAUCUGGGAUGCCCAGCUGGAGGACUCAGGCACCUACCUCUGUGCUGCAGAGGCACAGUGCUGCCAGCAAGCCUGA